AUUGAACGCUGGCGGCAGGCCUAACACAUGCAAGUCGAACGAGUGGCGGACGGGUGAGUAAUGUCUGGGAAACUGCCCGAUGGAGGGGGAUCACUACUGGAAACGGUAGCUAAUACCGCAUACCAUCGGAUGUGCCCAGAUGGGAUUAGCUAGUAGGUGGGGUAAUGGCUCACCUAGGCGACGAUCCCUAGCUAGUCUGAGAGGAUGACCAGCCACACGGGAACUGAGACAGGGUCCAGACUGCUGCGGGAGGCAGCAGUGGGGAAUAAUGCAAAAUGGGCGCAAGCCUGAUGCAGCCAUGCCGCGUGUAUGAAGAAAGCCUUCGGGUGGUAAAGUACUUUCAGCGAGGAGGCGUUACUCGCAGAAGAAGCACCGGCUAACGCCGUGCCAGCAGCCGCGGUAAAAC
rnacentral:rRNA from 1 species